rnacentral:rRNA from 1 species
GACGAACCGUGCGAACGUUGUUCGGAAUCACUGGGCUUAAAGGGCGCGUAGGCGGGCGGUCCAGUCAGGGGUGAAAUCUUUCGGCUCAACCGGAAAAGUGCCCCUGAUACUGACGGCCUCGAGGGGUGUAGGGGCAUGUGGAACUAAUGGUGGAGCGGUGAAAUGCGUAGAUAUCAUUUGGAACGCCAAUGGUGAAAACAGGUAGCUGGGGAUGUGCUGACGCUGAGACACGAAAGCCAGGGGAGCAAACGGG